UGCUUCUGUCACUCUGAAAUGGGCUUUGUGGACAGAGGAGGCAGAGGUGGAGGUCAUUUUUCUCCCCUUGUUCCAGAAUCUGUUGUUUCCUGUCUCCACUGAAAUGCAAAAAUAAGGAGUAUGCUUCCCAGAAGAACAUGGGCACUAUCAGGGAAAUGCAAGUUCAAACCACAAUGAGGUGCCUCUGUACUCACUCAAAUGGCAAAAAUAAAAAUGCUGCGACCGUAUCUGGUGAGGAUGCGGAGCAACGGGGAUUCUCACACACUGCUGGCAGGAAAGCAAAAUGGAGCAGAAUGGACCGUGGAGAACAGUUCUGUGGUUUCUAAUAAACUUAGGCACGUAA